GAUGAAGAACGUAGUGAAAUGCGAUAAGUAAUGUGAAUUGCAGAAUUCAGUGAAUCAUCGAAUCUUUGAACGCACAUUGCGCCCGCCAGUAUUCUGGCGGGCAUGCCUGUUCGAGCGUCAUUUCAACCCUCAAGACCCCUUCGGGGGACUUGGUGUUGGGGACCGGCAUAGGGGCCUUGCGCCCCUCGCCGCCCCCGAAAUGAAUUGGCGGCCUCGUCGCGGCCUCCCCUGCGUAGUAGCACAACCUCGCAACGGGAACGUGACGGCGGCCACUGCCGUAAAACAACCCAAUUUUAUUAGAGUUGACCUCGAAUCAGGUAGGAAUACCCGCUGAACUUAAGCAUAUCAAUAAGCGGAGGA
rnacentral:misc_RNA from 1 species